GUGGGGAAUAUUGGGCAAUGGGCGCAAGCCUGACCCAGCAACGCCGCGUGAAGGAAGAAGGCUUUCGGGUUGUAAACUUCUUUUACCAGGGACGAAACAAAUGACGGUACCUGGUGAAUAAGCCACGGCUAACUACGUGCCAGCAGCCGCGGUAAUACGUAGGUGGCGAGCGUUAUCCGGAUUUAUUGGGUGUAAAGGGCGUGUAGGCGGGACAGCAAGUCAGAUGAGAAAACCAGAGGCUCAACCUCUGGCCUGCAUUUGAAACUGUUGUUCUUGAGUGUCGGAGAGGUAAUCGGAAUUCCGUGUGUAGCGGUGAAAUGCGUAGAUAUACGGAGGAACACCAGUGGCGAAGGCGGAUUACUGGACGAUAACUGACGCUGAGGCGCGAAAGCGUGGGGAGCAAACAGGAUUAGAUACCCUAGUAUCC
rnacentral:rRNA from 1 species